AAUUCCUCCCAUGCAUGCGCCAUCCCCAGUCAAGUCCUUCCUCAUCACCGUCCACCAGCUCACACAGUGGGGUAGCUGGCUGCUGAGGCAAUUCCACAAUGGUUUCUCCGGUCUUUGGCCAUCUUUACGUAGCCACCCAUGCCCCAUUCUUCACCCCAGCUGAAAAAAGAGCAGGUUUUCCAUUUCAGAGAAAGAAUAAAGCCCAAAGGGUUAUUAACAGGAACACCCAACUUAAACACUGUGCCAGAGGCCAUAGACUUAACAGAAAGAAUCAGGACAGGCAAUGUUCCUGUUUAUCCUUAAAAAAUUCUUGACAUAACCUGGACAUAAUUUCCAUCCCAGCCUCCAAACUGUGACCUUUCACAGAACUACAGAUCAGAGACAGGAAAACAAUAGGAUGUCUUUGCAGCCAGAUAUGCCUCAGAAUUUAAAAACUGUUCAGAUUUAGAUACACCUUUAUACAAUGGAACAAAUACUAUAUUCAUACUCCCAAGAUAUUUGUGACAGUUUCUUACUUUUAUAAUCAAACAUUAAUAUUAUAUGUUCAACUUAGACUUCUGGGGAUUUCAGAAGUAUGCCUAAGGGCAUGUGGAACUGUAUCCAAACACUGUUUGCAAAUAAGUAUUCUCUUUUGAAUUUCAAAUGUAAGUAUUUCUGGCAAUUUAUACCUGUUCUUCACCAGCCAAUAUUUAUUGUUAUCUGAUUCUGUGCUUUCAAAUCCGUAGCCAACCACCAGCACACCAUGAUCCAUGUCUUCACUGCUACAGUCUGGCUCAAAAUAAAUGCCUGGGAUGGUAAAAUGAGGGCUGGGGUGAGAAGCUCCAGAGGACACAUGACAGUAACCCAUCCUGUCACCCACAGGGAAUGAGGCAUCUCUGAAUUCAGUGAAGUGACACACAUUCCAGAUAGUACUUAACAACAAUAAGAAGGCCAGGGAUUUAAGCUCUCAUUUACAACUAGCAGAAAUAGAAAUCAGCAUAAAUCCUUCAUUAAAAAAAAGCUUUCCUAGAGGAAAAAAAGACCCCUCUUUGUAAGCUUGUAAUUCUACUCUAGGAUAUCAAUCUAAAAAAAUAGCACAGAACACUAAAAUCCUUGAAUCAAAAGGCUCUUUUCGGAUUUAAUAAUAGAAGUAAAAAUCUUUGGAAAAAUUAUAAAAAUCCAACAAUUGCAGAAUAUUUUAAGUAUAUUAAACUACACAGUAAAUAUAGCUAUUUAUAAAAAGUUAUGAAGUACUUAUAUUCAUGGAGAUAUACGCAACAUAAUGUCAAAUGGAAACAUCAGGUAUAAAUAUUGCAUGUACAGAAUGAACAACUAUGAUGCUAAGCACCUAAAUAUCUACACUGAACUUUACUUGCAAACCAGAGUCUAUCAUGCUCGUAUGUCAUGAUACUCUUUUUCUGCAUCAAUUUCUACAAAGAAAAAUAUGCUUACCUUCUUUAUAGAACAGGAAGGACUCAUGACCUGCAUCAAUAGCAACAGAAAUGGGCCCCACAGUUGCAACUGCCUUCAUCAGGGCCUUCUCCUGCUUAGGGAUGUCCACAAAGCCGGUGUCAUUAGCAACAGAAUACUUGGGAUUGUACUUACAGGAUUCUUCCUUUCAAAGGUAAAGGGAAAAAAAAGACUUGAUUACUGCUGUCCUCCUCCUGGAGAACAUGAGUUAGAACCACAACACUCAGCAGUGUGCAGCUUAGUAUUUCCAAGUCACCACUGUUAUAAAUCAUCCCAGGAAGUGAAAUGCUAUUAGUUAAUCUGAAACUGAAAAUUGACUCCAGUCUCUUCAAUGAGACCUCUGGGUUUACUUCCAUAAGACAUUUUUCACAAUAGAGAAAUGUGUAUAUUUAGAAUGGCUUGUAUAUUCUUCACGUUACAUAGAAGCAAGAACAGCUAUAUGUUACCCAUCUAAUCACAGGAUUGUGCAAAGGCUAAUAAUUUAUAAUGACAGUACUGACAAUUUGCAGAUAUAUAUUCUGCCAUCUAAUAUGUGAACUUUUUUUUUUUUUUGGAGACAGGGUCUCAUUCUGUCACUCAGACUGGAGAGUGCAUUUGCACAACCACCUCCCACACUCAAGCAAUCGCCCUACCUCAGCAUAGCUGGGACCACAGACGCACACCACCACAGCCGGCUAAUUUUCGUUGUAUUUUUGAUAGAGUCAAGGUUUCACCUUGUUGCCCAGGCUGGUCUCAAACUCCUGAGCUUAAGCCAUCUGCCUGGCUCAGCCUCCUAAAGGGCUGGGAUUACAGGCGUGAGCCACCCCACCCAGCCCUAAUAUAUGAAUUCCGAAAAAGGUAUCUGUUAUCUCUUAAAGUGUCCACCUUCCAAAAGCUGAGCUGGAAUGAUGACAAGGAGCUCCACUUACUGUUGCCUCAUAUGGAUAGGAUUCCUCAGAGUCCAGGCCUCCAUUAUCCUGAACAUACUGGAAAGCAUAAUCCAUUAGGCCACCAUUGCAGCCUUCAUUGCCUUGAGGCCCAGAGCAGUCUACCAGAUUCUGCUCACUCAGUGAGAUAAGCCUCCCAGUUUUCCGGAACAUCUGUCCUUCAAGAGCACCAGUAGCACUAAAAGCCCAACAAGAACCACACUGACCCUGAAAAGGGAAUUAAAAAAAGCUGUCAUCCACAAAAAAAAAAUAAUAAGACUUUGACAACAGCUCACACAUCUGAAUACUGUUAAAAAGUGAACUGUACAUCACUUUAAAGUCUACCAAAACAAAGAUGUCAAUCACUUCUUGGCUUUCCUGGGAAGAUGGGAGGUCUGAACCUGACACUGUCUCACCUGAUUCUUCACAGGAGUCACGUAGCCUUUCUCUCUCCAAUCCACAGAUCUGGGGGCCUCAUAAAACAGAGGUUCCUGGAACACUUUCCCCUUCCUGGGCUUACGGUUUUGAAAGCCAUUCAUCACCUGCCUGAAUUCUUCACUGGUCUUCAAGGAAAAGGAAAUAAAAUGUUGAAAAGCAAGAGAUUACCUUAGUAAAGAACCGAAGAGAGGAAGCACAGAGCUCGGCAGUCCACAGCACACUUACCAUGUCUCCAAAGGCGUUCAUGGCCAUUGUGAAGCUGUGUUUCCCUUCCCUGUAUUCCUGAUUGUGCAGUUCAAUCAUCUUCAUGUUCUUCUCCCACACUGCUCUCCUCCAUCCUUCUUCAUUCUAGAGGCCAGCAGAGUUCGGGGUAGACGCUCUCGUUGCCAGGGCUGGUGCACACCUACUCGACCGCGUCCUCUCUUCCAGUCCCUGUCCGGCCACAGCUGGGCCUGGCCGGCGGCGCUUUCCUGCUGCGGUCGUAGCUGCGCAGGCGCACUCCACGGAUGCCGCUCAAGGUUGCGG
rnacentral:lncRNA from 1 species